rnacentral:tRNA from 1 species
CAGAGGAUAGUUUAAUAAAAAAUAUUAAUUUUGGGAAUUAAUGAUAAGAAUUUCUUUCCUUUGG